AUACUACUCCAUCCGUCCGGAAUUACUUGUCACAAAAGUGGAUAAUAAUGAAUGUAUCUAGAAAUAAAAUACAUCUAGAUACAUUCAUUCCCCCGACAAGUAUUUUCGGACGGAGGUAGUUGCUU
rfam:Hordeum vulgare subsp. vulgare, WGS project CAJW01000000 data, contig: morex_contig_167865